rnacentral:misc_RNA from 1 species
AAGUCGUAACAAGGUUUCCGUAGGUGAACCUGCGGAAGGAUCAUUAACACGUAUCCAACGUUAAAAACCCCGUGAACCUUCAUCGCCGCUCCUCAUGGCUAAGUCUUGGAUAAAGCCAAACAGCAAUCCCUGCACUCGUCCGAGAAAAUGCAAGAGGAGGGACCUCUGUUUGACAGAGCACUAUGGGUUUAAAAACGUUUAAACAACUGUUAACAAUGGAUAUCUUGGUUCUC